UUAAAGUGCCCCGGAAGUAGAACACCCAGCUCUGUACCGGAUAUUACUGCGAAGCUGAGGUCAGAAGUUCUCUCUCACAGCCAUCUUGGAUAUAGCAUCCCGAAUCGCAACCAUGCCUGGUGAAGGCAACAGAAACGGUCCCAGUCACCGAGCAGGAGAUGCAGCAGCCUCAAGUAGAGACCGCUACACCUCCUGCCCAAGCUGCGACCCUGAAACCUCAGGCUGCUACUGGCCAUGUAAAGCCCAAAGGCAAAGAUGCCAAGAAUCCGCAGGGUUCGUCUGCCCCAAAGGCUGUCCCUGGUAGAAGAAAACGCUCCUCUCUGUCUGCCUCUUCCUCCUCUCCCACCUCACCAAAAUCUACUUCCUCCACUACUCCCCUGUCGCCCGUGCCAUCAGCCCCUAGCUGGCUCUCCUGGGGGCUCCUCUGCUAAUAAGGCUAACCGCUUUACCCCAAAAGUUGUCAAGGCUGGCAAACAAGGAAGAGCUAUGAAGGGAGAGGCAUUUGUGCCUACUCCGGCCCCCUGUAGAGUGCAAAGUCACCACAGUUCUUGAAAAAACAGUAGAGGCUAGCCCCCAAGCAAAUUAUAGUUGAACCUGCCCCAGCAGCUUGCUGCAAAGCCUGUUGUAUGCCCAGCUGCUUUCAAAGUUACCUCAAAGCCUGCUGUGGCACCCCCCAGUUUCAUUUUCAAGAAGCUCUUGCCUCUAGCCCUCCUGCCAGCCGUGCCGUUGAGGUUAAGAAAGCUUUACCAAGCCCUGUCCCUGAUUUUGAUCAACUGAUGAUCUUCCGCCCACUUAUUCCACCUGUGAAGCCAAUGGACUGGUGCUAUAAACAGCCCAGUGAAAAAUUGUUGAGGUUGCUAAAGAGGUAUCUCCAAGCAAACCUGCUCCUGUGAGGUUAAGCCAACUGCUGAACCCACACCUGCUCCAGUAGAGGCUUCCCGUUGAGGUUGACAUGCCUAAACCUGCUCCCAUUGAGGUUAGCCCAGCAGCUGAGCCCAAACCUUGCUCAUGUUGAGGUUGACGGUGCCCAAACCUGCUCAUGUUGAGGUUGACGUGCCCAAACCUGCUCAUGUUGAGGUUGACGUGCUCAAACCUGCUCAUGUUAAGGUUGACAUGCCUAAACCUGCUUCCAUUGAGGUUAAGCCAGCAGCUGAGCCCAAACCUGCUCAUGUUGAGGUUGACGUGCUCAAACCUGCUCAUGUUAAGGUUGACGUGCCCAAACCUGCUCAUGUUGAGGUUAAGCCAGCAGCUGAGCCCAAACCUGCUCAUGUUGAGGUUGACGUGCCCAAACCUGCUCAUGUUGAGGUUGACGUGCCCAACCUGCUCAUAUUGAGGUUGACGUGCCCAGACCUGCUCAUGUUGAGGUUGACGUGCCCAAACCUGCUCAUGUUGACGUGCCCAAACUGCUCAUGUUGACGUGCCCAAACCUGCUCAUGUUGACGUGCCCAAACCUGCUCAUGUUGACGUUGACGUGCCCA